rnacentral:tRNA from 1 species
UCAGAGAAUAGUUUAAUGUAAAAUACCAGCUUUGGGAGUUGGUGAUAGAGGUUUGAGCCCUUUUUUUUUGAA